rnacentral:lncRNA from 1 species
UUUGUGACAGUAGGUGGAUGUGGUGGUGGCAAAGGUCCUGCACCUCUAACCUCUGACAGUGAACGUGGUUCAGCUUUCUGCUGUUCAGGCCGCUCCAGUCAUUCUUUAUGUUACGCUGCCGCCUCAUGAAAGGACACCGUGAGUUUGUUUGGUGGACUGGAACGGCAUCAAAGCAAAGAACAGAGGCGCGUGUGCCGGGCUGUCGCUGAAGUGAGAACCGCUCCACGGCUGCUUGGUUUGAACAGAUGAAAGGGUUAAUCUCAUUUGACGACAUACAACCGUGAGUAAUGACUCCAAAGCCUCCCACUGCCUUUGCACUGUUUCAUUUGCAACUUUUUCCUGAAGCAUGGCCUUAUUUGUUGUACAGCCUUGGCUGCACUCUGCCUUUCUUGCCUCCAUUGUACUCGCAGCAGCCCGCUGCUUACUGUCUGUGUGUGCCUAGGUAAACACAUUAUGGGAAUAGAAGCUAAUCCAUCACGGGAGUCACGCUGAAAUGUUUCUCCCUCAGGGCUCUGCAGUGCUGUGGUAUCAGGUGGAAAGUUUCCACUUCCUGUCUUUGUCGGCAGGUUCCUGGCCGAAGGGGGCAAUUUCACGAUUGGCCCCCGGUGGAUUGAACAUACGACCCACGGGCGACACUACCUGUUCCACCACUACCCCGGAUGGCGCCACUCCUGGAAGGGGAGGUUUACGCUGUACCCUGAGUGGGAGACGAGAUGAGGGAUGUUUCCAUCUAUCUUUCAAGAAGUAAUGAAGUCAUCAUCCCUGCAAAAGAUGUGUCCUGACCCUGUCGUAUCCUGAUGGUGUGAUGAUGACACUGACCGGAGGACGGAACAGAGAGAGGACGAGUCUGGAACGGAGAUGAACGGAAAAAAAGCAUGGGAAGAAGAAUAAGGAAAAGGUGAAAGGUCGUGACCCCGGUAGGACGCUCUCUCGCUCGCCCUGUGUGAGGCAGUGAGAAAGUCUAAACUCACCCAGUUACACUGAAUACAAUUACAACUCGUCUGAUACAAAGUAAUUAGUGUAAGAAUAGUAAAAUAGUCCAACAACUAAAGAAACAAAGAGAUUUUAAAAUGUAAGCAAGUAACAAUCCACCAAUUAUUUUAUGAGACACCUGAAAACGGUAUUUCAACUUAAAUUCAGGUUCAGAACUGCAGCUCCUCAAGCUUAUUCACAUCACAGCCUCAGCACUGGAACCCAAACUGAAGUCGCA